GAUCUGUCAGGUUCUAGUGAGGGGGUGAGAGGAAGAAGUCAGCGGCAGCUUCCUCAAAGGGGAGGAAUCGGGGAAGAAGAUAACAAUUUUGGGAGAAAGCAGCGGCCCCAGAAAGAAAGAAAGAAAACAAAAAUAAAAGACAAGAUCUGAAAGUGAAAAAUCAGAAACAUAUCUGUGCUUUAAACUUACAAUGAUACGGCAUUAGCGAAAACAAUGAGAAAUCAGAAAAUGCGCGUUAAACUUACAGUGAAUUUCGCCGAUCCCGAUCCGAAAGCAAUAGCUCGUGCUUGUGAGGAAGAAAGUUGAAAGAAUAGAAUGCCGGUGAAAGGUAAAUAAGCUUAAUCAAAAUUUCCAAAGUUCUUAACUCUGUAAAUAAGCUUAAUCACAAAGAAAGAGAUGGAAAUAAAUUUCAAUACGCGUGAAGAUUGUACUUUAACUCUGUAAUUUGAUGGUCAAUAUGUUAAUAUAUGUAUUUCUUUUAUUUUAAUAGCUUAUUGCCGCCAAUGUCAUCAUUUACUGAAGAGAAAUUCCAGCUGACGGAGGAAGGCAGUUGCACCGAUAUUUCAUCACACUUCAUUUAGAGCUCUCAAUUUUUCUUGAGCAAGGUGUUAAGAAAUUAACAUACUUAUGCAUUUGAUUGUGUUUUUAUUUCUUGCUUUUCGUUUUCAAAUGCGGAAAUAAUGUUUGAACAAAAAUAUCACUACUUAACACACUACGAUGGAGUUUGAAAAGUCCGUACAGUG
rnacentral:lncRNA from 1 species